rnacentral:lncRNA from 1 species
UCACACAGCUAGUGCUUCAUUCAUGUAUUUAUAACCCCAACAAACACUGGAACGAUGUAGCUAGCAGCUCCAGCCAUACAUGAUAGAACGCGAAACACUAAUCAAUAAACAACCAAAAAAAAAACCUCAGCCUAUUUUGGUCGAACACAACAUCUAACCACAAAUUAUUGUCGCCUUCCGAUCCCCGGUCCGUCGCCACCUCCCCGGCCGAAUGAAGAGGCACUCGAUGCUAAGACUGUUGACGAAGAGGCACUCGAUGCUCCCACUGCUACAAAAGCUGAGGUUAAAACAGAACCUGAGAAUCGGGAGGAUGAGAAAACUAGCAAGCAUUUAGGGAGGAGCAGUGCUAGUUCGAACCAAGGAAGCACGAACGGUUAUGCCUCAGCAGCACCAGGCCUUAACGAACAGGAAGCCAACUCUGCAUUGAAAAUCAUGCACGAGUUAUCUGAUCAUCAGUUGGAGCAAAUAGAGAAGCACCUGGAUUCCAGCACCCAUGUUGCUGCCGUGAACUGUCC